rfam:Picea glauca, whole genome shotgun sequence.
GUAACGGUGUCUUUAGACACCACCUUUUUUCUUCAAAAAAUUGGAU